UCCAAUAAUCCUCUCUCUAACCUUUCGGUCUCUCACCUCCCCACUCUCUGCAAACAACGAAGAAAAUAUGAAAAAAAAUGUAUGUCGGAACGGCGGUAGGUGCGGCGGUGAUCGGCGAACUCGAAGGCUCUCUUCUCACUUUUUUCUACUCCUUCUUUCUCUUAAUCUUUCUUUUUUUUCUUUUUCUUUUUCAUUUUCUCCCCCUUUCUGAUUUCGUUUUUUUCUGAUUUAUAGUGUUUUUGGGUUGAUUAGACUUAGGAAACAAUUUUUAAGAGCUUUUAUUUUUAGGAUUUGAUUUAGUUAAUAGGUAUAAUUUGUUUGUGAUUUUCGGAUUCGAUUACUCUUUUGAUUUGGGAAACCUUUGAUUCACUGUUGUAACUUGUAUUGAUUUAUUUAGAUUUGAUCUUUAAUAGGUUUGAUUAA